rnacentral:rRNA from 1 species
GACGUAGGGCGCGAGCGUUGUCCGGAUUUAUUGGGCGUAAAGAGCUCGUAGGCGGCUCGUUGCGUCGGCUGUGAAAACCCGCAGCUCAACUGUGGGCUUGCAGCUGAUACGGGCGGGCUGGGAUUCGGUAGGGGAGACUGGAAUUCCUGGUGUAGCGGUGAAAUGCGCAGAUAUCGUUUGGAACGCCAAUGGUGAAAACAGGUCGCUGGGAGUGUGCUGACGCUGAGACACGAAAGCCAGGGGAGCGAACGGG